rnacentral:rRNA from 1 species
AUGAACGCUAGCUACAGGCUUAACACAUGCAAGUCGAGGGGCAGCAUUAUCGAAGCUUGCUUUGAUAGAUGGCGACCGGCGCACGGGUGAGUAACGCGUAUCCAACCUUCCCCAUAGUCAGGAAUAGCCCGGCGAAAGUCGAAUUAAUGCCUGANGUUUUCCACGGACGGCAUCUGAUGUGGAACAAAGAUUCAUCGCUAUGGGAUGGGGAUGCGUCUGAUUAGCUUGUUGCGGGGUAACGGCCCACCAAGGCAACGAUCAGUAGGGGUUCUGAGAGGAAAGCCCCCCACAUUGGAACUGAGACACGGUCCAAACUCCUACGGGAGGCAGCAGUGAGGAAUAUUGGUCAAUGGGCGAGAGCCUGAACCAGCCAAGUAGCGUGCAGGAUGACGGCCCUAUGGGUUGUAAACUGCUUUUAUGCGGGGAUAAAGCGGGCGACGUGUCGCCCCUUGCAGGUACCGCAUGAAUAAGGACCGGCUAAUUCCGUG